UUCUGGCUCAGAUUGAACGCUGGCGGCGUGCUUAACACAUGCAAGUCGCGCGUGAAAGGACUUCGGUCCGAGUAAAGCGGCGCACGGGUGAGUAACGCGUGGAUGAUCUACCCAUGAGUUAGGAAUAACGGCUGGAAACGGUCGCUAAUACCAAAUACGCUCCGAUUUCAACUUCGGGGGAAAGGUGGCCUCUGCUUGCAAGCUACUGCUCAUGGAUGAGUCCGCGUCCCAUUAGCUAGUUGGUGGGGUAACGGCCCACCAAGGCGACGAUGGGUAGCCGGUCUGAGAGGAUGACCGGCCACACUGGGACUGGAACACGGCCCAGACUCCUACGGGAGGCAGCAGUGGGGAAUAUUGCGCAAUGGGCGAAAGCCUGACGCAGCGACGCCGCGUGAGGGGAAUGAAGGUCCUCGGAUCGUAAACCUCUGUCAGGAGGGAAGAACCGCCACGGUGCUAAUCAGCCGUGGUCUGACGGUACCUCCAAAGGAAGCACCGGCUAACUCCGUGCCAGCCGCGGC
rnacentral:rRNA from 1 species